rnacentral:lncRNA from 10 species
AGAAAUCCAAAGAGCGCAGGCAGGGGAAUCCAUCUGGACCCUAUGUAGCUCUCAGAGAGGUGGGAGAGAGCCCAUCAGGUCUGAGCCGGCAGUAAAUUGCCCGCAGGUGUAGCCAGGGACCCUUCUUCGUCUAGAUGGCUUGAGAUACACCAUCCUGAACCUUGGCCCCUGGCCACAUUCUUUCCUGAUGGGUAGAGGAGGGUAAAGUUAAUACUCACAGGAGUAUUGUAUUUCCAGUUCUUAACUGUGCUGCCUGCAAGCAUGGCACAAGAACUACAUGGGCAAACAAACUACUGAAUUUCAGCAAGGCAGUUUAGCAAAUUCUUUUAUAAAUUUGAAGGAACCUGUGGAUUGGAUGAUUCUGCGUUGUGGCAGCAUUGUCAACUGAUGGACCCACCAGUUCCUGAAUCCUGCUGACUAAUGGAUCAUUGUCAACUUGCUGGAGCUUUGAGGAAGUGGUCUCCUGGGAGCAGCACUAUGCACUUCAUUAAUAAGAAGGGAUUAAAGAAAAAAGCCCCAGUCUCCUAAUACACUUGGAUAAUUUGGUGCCAUCCACAAGGCGAUAGACCCCUGCUGCAUAGAUGUCAUUAGAAAG